rnacentral:rRNA from 1 species
AACGAACGCUGGCGGCAUGCCUAACACAUGCAAGUCGAACGAAGGCUUCGGCCUUAGUGGCGCACGGGUGAGUAACGCGUGGGAAACUGCCUAUUGGUGGGGAAUAACGACGGGAAACUGUCGCUAAUACCGCAUAAGCCCUUCGGGGGAAAGAUUUACCGCCGAUAGAUGUGCCCGCGUCCGAUUAGCUAGUUGGUGAGGUAAUGGCUCACCAAGGCGACGAUCGGUAGCUGGUCUGAGAGGAUGAUCAGCCACACUGGGACUGAGACACGGCCCAGACUCCUACGGGAGGCAGCAGUGGGGAAUAUUGGACAAUGGGCGAAAGCCUGAUCCAGCAAUGCCGCGUGAGUGAUGAAGGCCUUAGGGUUGUAAAGCUCUUUCGGGUGGGACGAUGAUGACGGUACCACCAGAAGAAGCCCCGGCUAACUUCGUGCCAGCAGCCGCCGCAG